rnacentral:rRNA from 1 species
UACAGAGGGUGCAAGCGUUAAUCGGAAUUACUGGGCGUAAAGCGUGCGCAGGCGGUUCGUUGUGUCGGUGGUGAAAGCCCCGGGCUCAACCUGGGAAUGGCCAUGGAAACUGGCGAACUGGAGUGUGGCAGAGGGGGGUGGAAUUCCGCGUGUAGCAGUGAAAUGCGUAGAGAUGCGGAGGAACACCGAUGGCGAAGGCAGCCCCCUGGGCUAGCACUGACGCUCAGGCACGAAAGCGUGGGGAGCAAACAGG